rnacentral:rRNA from 1 species
UACGAAGGGGGCUAGCGUUGUUCGGAAUCACUGGGCGUAAAGCGCACGCAGGCGGAUCGUUAAGUCAGGGGUGAAAUCCCGAGGCUCAACCUCGGAACUGCCUUUGAUACUGGCGAUCUUUGAGUCCGGGAGAGGUGAGUGGAACUCCGAGUGUAGAGGUGAAAUUCGUAGAUAUUAGGAAGAACACCGGUGGCGAAGGCGGCCCACUGGCUCGAUACUGACGCUGAGGUGCGAAAGCGUGGGGAGCAAACAGG